UCCCUGGUGGCUCAGAGGUUAAAGCGUCUGCCUGCAAUGCGGGAGACCCGGGUUCGAUCCCUGGGUUGGGAA
rfam:Ovis aries breed Texel chromosome 5, whole genome shotgun sequence.